GGGGAAUUUUCCGCAAUGGGCUCAAGCCUGUACGGUAGCAAGUCCCGCGUGGGGGCUUCAGGUUUGUGGAUUGUAAACCCCUUUUGAUUGGGUCAGUCAUACUGACGGUACCAAUCGAAUAAGCCUCGGCUAACUCCGUGCCAGCAGCCGCGGUAAUACGGAGGAGGCAAGCGUUAUCCGGAAUUAUUGGGCGUAAAGCGUCCGUAGGUGGUUUAGUAAGUCUGCUGUUAAAGCGCGGGGCUUAACUCCGUAUCGGCAGUGGAAACUACUAGACUAGAGUGUGGUAGGGGUAGAGGGAAUUCCCAGUGUAGCGGUGAAAUGCGUAGAUAUUGGGAAGAACACCGGUGGCGAAAGCGCUCUACUGGGCCAUAACUGACACUGAUGGACGAAAGCUAGGGGAGCGAAAGGGAUUAGAUACCCCUGNUAGUC
rnacentral:rRNA from 1 species